rnacentral:lncRNA from 1 species
ACAGCUAAGAACACGGACAACAGGCAUGUCUGUGAGGAGUGAGGGCUCACUGUGAGCUCAAGAUGGGGGCCUCUGAUACAAAACGAUUUGUGGUUAGAACAGGAAUUUCAGGGUUCUUGUGGCCUGGGGUCUGUGGGGGCAGCAGUUACCUGCCAGGCUGGGGGACGUGGCAGAAAAGGUCCUUGCCUUGAGGAAGUUCGAGUCUAGCAGAGGAGAAAAUCAAGAAACAACGCCAAAUGCAUUAUGUCUGAGUGGAAGGUCCUCUGGGAAGCACCCAGGGCACAGGAACACAGUGUCUACUUCUCACCAAAGGAGCCCUCUCCUAUAUCCAGGCUGCAGCUCUCUUACAGCGCAUGCAGAGUCCCCCAGAGGAUGAAGGAGAAGCAAACCUCUUCUGCCCUCGCCUGCCAAAGAAAUCAAUCACACAGCCCCAGAGAGCGCAGCAUCUUAUACCAUUGUGCACUCCUGAGCAUAGAAAGCACAGCUUCCCUGCAUGGAGUAAGCAGGGUCUGUGUUUUCCUCCUACCUCCUGUAGGGUACAUCUGGCCCACAGCUCCCCCAUACUGUUUGUAAAACUUGCAUUAGGCACGUACACUAUGUUUUGAAUGGUGAAGGGCAUGGCCAACAAUAAUCUUGGGACUGGCUCUGUUCUGCUCAUCUAGAGGGCAGGGUUCGUAUGUGAAGCUCCCCUUCACCCAGUCUGCUCUGCUCUUUGUCUCUUAGGAAGCCAAGAUCAUUGCCUUUUAACCUUUGCUCUCAACACACACAUUCCUGGAAUCUCUUCCAAGUUCUUUCUAAAUUCUACCACCUCUU